rnacentral:lncRNA from 1 species
UUGAGAUUCUUUUGUUGAGAGUUUUCUGUUUAGAUCUGUACCUCAUUUUUUAAUUGGAUUAUUUGGGGGUUUUGAUGUCUAACUUCUUAAGUUCUUAAUAUUUUAGAUUCUAGGCCUCUGUCAGGUAUAGGGUUGGUGAAGAUCUUUUCCCAGUCUGUAGGCUGACGUUUUGUUCUAUUGACGGUGUCCUUUGUCUUACAGAAGCUUUUCAGUUUCAUGAGGUCCUGUUUAUUAAUCGUCUGUCUUAGUGCCUAUGCUAUUGAAGUUCUGUUGUUUCCUGUGCCAAUGCAUUCAAGGCUCUUCCCCACUUUCUCUUCUAUGUUAAGGUCUUUGAUCCACUUGAACUUGAGUAUUGUGCAGGGUGAUAGAUAAGAAUCUAUUUGCAUUCUUCUACAUGCUUAUAUCCAGUUAGAUUAGCAACAUUUGUUGAAGAUGCUUUCUUUUUUCCAUUGUAUAAUUUUGGCUUCUUUGUCAGAAAUCAGGUGUUCAUAGGUGUGUGGAUUUACAUAUGGGUUUUGAUGCCAUUCCGUUGAUCAACCUGUCUAUUUUUACAUGCAGUUUUUAUCACUGUUGCUCUAUAGUACAGCUUGAGAUCCAGAGGUUCUUUUAUUGUACAGGUUUGUUUUAGCUAUCCUGGGUUCUCUAUUUUUCCAUAUGAAGUUGAGAAUUGUUCUUUCAAGGUCUGUAAAGAGUUGUGUUAGAAUUUUGAUGGGGAUUGCAUUGAAUCUGUGGAUUGCUUUUGGUAAGAUGGCCAUUUUCAUUAUAUUCACCCUACCGCUCUGUGAGUAUGGGAGAUCUUUCCAACUUCUCAUAUCUUCCAUUUCUUUCUCCAGGUACUUAACAUUCUGUCAUACAGAUCUCUCACUUGCUUGGUUACAGUUGCACCAAGGUAUUUUAUAUUAUUUGUGGCUAUUGUGAAGGGUGUUGUUUUCCUAAUUUCUUUCUCUGCCCAUUUAACUUUUGUAUAUAAGAGGGCUAUUGAUUUUUUUUUUUUUUAAUUAACCUUGUAUCCAGCCACUUUGUUGAAAGUGUUUAUCAGCUAUAGAAGUUCUCUGGUAGAAUUUUUGAGGUUGCUAAUGUAAGCUAUCAUCUGUGAAUAGCAAUACUUUGACUUCUUCCUUUCCAAUUUGUAUCCCCAUGGUCUCCUUUAGUUGUCUUAUUACUCUGGCUAGAACCUCAAGUGCUUAUAUUGAAUACGUAUGGAGAGAGUGCACAGCCUUGUCUUGUCCUUGAUUUUAGUGAAAUUGCUUUAAGUUUCUCAUCAUUUAAUAUUGGCCAUCAGCUUGCUGUAUAUUGCCCUUAGGUAUGUGCCUUGUAUCCCUCAUUUCUUCAAGGCCUUUAUCAUGAAGGGAUGUUGGAUUUUUGACAACAUCUGAUGAGAUGAUCAUGUGUUAGUUUUCUUUCAGUCUUCAGAUCCUGUAUGGUAACUCAUGACAGUGUCUCCUUAAGAAUGAGUAAAUCAAAUAGGGGGGCUCAUAAAUCUACCAUUCUUGUGUAUAUUUUUCUGCAUGUAUGCUCUCUUUCCUCAUCAAUGUUCCUAGUAUUUCAACAUAUGUUCCCUUUCAGAUUAACAACGUGGCAUAGCUACUUAGCAGAUGCUCGGCUUUGUUGUGGCAUUUUUAAUGGGUUUUCUCAUGUGUUUCAAGGCAGUAGUACAGUUCUUACUGAAUGCUUCCAGAACUUUAUCAGAAGAUCCCAAUAAUUUUACAUUAAAAUGGUAAUAAUGAAUGUUGAAAUAGAAGCAUGGUAUCAGUGUGAGAACUGGUGUAUGGCAUAAUGCUCAGACCUAUUAGCAAUGGACUCUGGACCAACAAAAUGGCAGCUACCAGGACACAGGAGACUUUCUUAGCCUCAAAGCUUAUAGGUGGGGAUUCAGACACAUUUUAAACAUUUGAGAGAUUUUCAUAUUUCAGAAUCAAAUACGACUCGUUUCUUAUCAUAAUCCAUUAAAAUACCAUUUCAGCUUCGAGCAUUUAGGGAAGAGGCAGAGGUCACUGCACAGUGUCUUGCUGCUCAGUAAACCUUUGAGGGUGCUGCAGUGCCUCGCCUGCUUCCUCACUAGAGGGCGCUAUAGUGUCUUACCUCAUGGUUUCCAUUGUUUUCCCUGGCAGGUUCCACUAGGCUUCUCAGCUCCACUAGAGGACCUCCCUCCUGUGCCCCACAUGGCGUGCUGUACUCUGGAGAACCUGUACCUUCUGAUGGGAAGGGAGCUGGAAGAUCUGGAAGAAGUCCCCCCAGGAAACGUGCUGGGUAGGGCGCUGCUGGGUACUCUGCUCACUCCAGCCUUAAAGGCUGUCCAACAUGGCGUGGGGUGCUUAGUGACAUUUUUAAAGAGAAUGACCUGCCUUUUUUCAUAGUUAUUUUUUUUUUCUGGAGUCUUUAACUUAGUAUAAUUGAGUCACCACCUUGUGAGUCAGUAACAUGGAGAUCUAGUUCAAACCUGUAGGUGCUGUUUAAGUAAACUGUGACGCCUAUCUUAAGUGGGGGUUCCAUUUGUUUAGAAGC